rnacentral:rRNA from 1 species
GGACGAACGCUGGCGGCGUGCCUAACACAUGCAAGUCGAACGGAGUUUUUAUGGAAUGCGGCUUCGGCCAAAUGAAGUUUAACUUAGUGGCGGACGGGUGAGUAACGCGUGAGCAACCUGCCUUACAGAGGGGGACAACAGUUGGAAACGACUGCUAAUACCGCAUAACGUGCCGGAAGGACAUCCUUUUGGUACCAAAGGAGCAAUCCGCUGUAAGAUGGGCUCGCGUCCGAUUAGAUAGUUGGUGAGGUAACGGCCCACCAAGUCGACGAUCGGUAGCCGGACUGAGAGGUUGAACGGCCACAUUGGGACUGAGACACGGCCCAGACUCCUACGGGAGGCAGCAGUGGGGGAUAUUGCACAAUGGAGGAAACUCUGAUGCAGCAACGCCGCGUGAGGGAAGAAGGUUUUCGGAUUGUAAACCUCUGUUUUUAGUGAAGAAACAAAUGACGGUAGCUAAAGAGGAAGCCACGGCUAACUACGUG